rnacentral:lncRNA from 1 species
ACAGCACAUCAUCAGGAAUUAGUUUAAACUGGGACGUGGAUGAAGCUGGAAACUAUCAUUUGCAGCAAAGUAUCACAAGAACAGAAAACCAAACACCACAUGUUCUCACUCAUAAGUGGGAGGUGAACAACGAGAACGCAUGGACACCGGGAGGAGAACAUCACACACUGGGGCCUGUCGGGGGAUGGGGGGACUAGGGGAGGGAUAGCAUUAGGAGAAAUACCUUAUGUAGGUGACGGAUUGAUGGGUGCAGCAAACCACCAUGGCACGUGUAUACCUAGGUAACAAAACUGCACAUUCUGCACUUGUGCCCCAGAACUUAAAAUGUAAUUUAAAAAAAGAGAGAGAGAGAAAAAAAGAACUGGCU